rnacentral:tRNA from 1 species
GGAGAGGUAGUCAAGUGGUCUACGACAGCAGUUUACUAAACUGCCAUAUCCGAAAGGGUAUCGCGGGUUCGAAUCCCGCCCUCUCCG